rnacentral:piRNA from 1 species
UUACAUGUACUAGAUAGCCUUCUUGAGAUGU